UACUCUGAAUAUGCCACAAGGAUGUAGAA
rnacentral:piRNA from 1 species